GUUCGGAAUUACUGGGCGUAAAGCGCACGUAGGCGGCUAUUCAAGUCAGAGGUGAAAGACCCGGGGGCUCAACCCCGGAACUGCCUUUGAAACUAGAUAGCUUGAAUCCAGGAGAGGUGAGUGGAAUUCCGAGUGUAGAGGUGAAAUUCGUAGAUAUUCGGAAGAACACCAGUGGCGAAGGCGGCUCACUGGACUGGUAUUGACGCUGAGGUGCGAAAGCGUGGGGGAGCAAACAGGAUUAGAUACCCCUGGUAG
rnacentral:rRNA from 1 species